rnacentral:rRNA from 1 species
CUUCUAGCUUGCUAGAAGUGGAUUAGUGGCGCACGCGUGAGUAAUGCAUAGGUUAUGUGCCCUUUAGUCUGGGAUAGCCACUGGAAACGGUGAUUAAUACUGGAUACUCCCUACGGGGGAAAGUUUUUCGCUAAAGGAUCAGCCUAUGUCCUAUCAGCUUGUUGGUGAGGUAAUGGCUCACCAAGGCUAUGACGGGUAUCCGGCCUGAGAGGGUGAUCGGACACACUGGAACUGAGACACGGUCCAGACUCCUACGGGAGGCAGCAGUAGGGAAUAUUGCUCAAUGGGGGAAACCCUGAAGCAGCAACGCCGCGUGGAGGAUGAAGGUUUUAGGAUUGUAAACUCCUUUUGUUAGAGAAGAUUAUGACGGUAUCUAACGAAUAAGCACCGGCUAACUCCGUGCCAGCAGCCGCGGUAAUACGGAGGGUGCAAGCGUUACUCGGAAUCACUGGGCGUAAAGAGUGCGUAGGCGGGGUAAUAAGUCAGAUGUGAAAUCCUGUAGCUUAACUACAGAACUGCAUUUGAAACUGUUACUCUGGAGUGUGGGAGAGGUAGGUGGAAUUCUUGGUGUAGGGGUAAAAUCCGUAGAGAUCAAGAGGAAUACUCAUUGCGAAGGCGACCUGCUGGAACAUUACUGACGCUGAUGCACGAAAGCGUGGGGAGCAAACAGGAUUAGAUACCCUGGUAGUCCACGCCCUAAACGAUGGAUGCUAGUUGUUGCCUUGCUUGUCAGGGCAGUAAUGCAGCUAACGCAUUAAGCAUCCCGCCUGGGGAGUACGGUCGCAAGAUUAAAACUCAAAGGAAUAGACGGGGACCCGCACAAGCG